UACGUAGGGUGCAAGCGUUGUCCGGAAUUAUUGGGCGUAAAGAGCUCGUAGGCGGUCUGUUGCGUCGGCUGUGAAAACCCGGGGCUCAACUCCGGGCCUGCAGCCGAUACGGGCAGACUAGAGUUCGGCAGGGGAGACUGGAAUUCCUGGUGUAGCGGUGAAAUGCGCAGAUAUCAGGAGGAACACCAAUGGCGAAGGCAGCUCACUGGGACGGUAUUUACGCUGAGACGCGAAAGCGUGGGGAGCAAACAGG
rnacentral:rRNA from 1 species